AAAACGGAGUCAGGUAAUGAGAUAAGCAUAGACGAGCCGGUCCGUCCCAGGUCCUUCGUCGAAUGACUCGAACCCAAGCGCACGCGACCCCAUUCUCCAGCCUCCCAGGCCUUCGAAGUUUGAACCUCUGUCCGAGCCGCCUAACCUUCGCCGGGCAUCUCAGCCUUCAUCGACGGUGAUCGUGGCUUCUGUCGAAGGCUCGAGGGCUUUUCUUUGGUUGAGCCCUUCCCUGUUCGCCGGACAUCUCACCCUAGUACUCGCGGCUCCAUCCUCCCAGCUGGAAGUCUCGAAGCCUCUUCUUUGCACAACAUAAAACAAUGAAGGCUAUGAAGCAGUCUAAGGAUCCUUUUGAAGUAGCUUUUGAGGAACAGGAGGAUUCACCACCUGAUUCCCCCACUGCCUUUCAUGAGAUAGAAUCUAAAACUCAGGCUGCAAUGGUUACUGAUAAUCAGCGUGAUGUUGACAUGAAUGCCAACAGUCAUACUGCAAAUCCUUCAAAAGCUACAGCUCCAACUGUCUUGGCUGGUGCCACUAGACCCACAAGCAAGACCAAAGAGGAUGACGAUGAUGAUGAGGAGGAGAAUGUGGAUGUUGAGCUUGCAAAAUUCCCAUCCAGUGGUGACCCUGACAAAAUGGCCAAGAUGCAAGCUAUUCUAUCACAAUUCACGGAAGAACAGAUGAGUAGGUAUGAAUCUUUCCGAAGGUCUGGAUUUCAGAAAGCAAACAUGAAAAGGCUGUUAGCCAGCAUAACUGGAAGCCAGAAAAUUUCUGUACCCAUGACAAUUGUAGUUUCGGGGAUAGCAAAAAUGUUUAUUGGUGAGCUUGUUGAAACAGCUAGAAUGGUCAUGGCAGAGAGAAAGGAGACUGGACCAAUCAGGCCCUGCCACAUCAGAGAAGCAUACAGAAGAUUAAAGCUUGAAGGCAAAGUGCCAAAGAGAUCAGUGCCACGGCUUUUCCGAUAAAUCAACAAGAGGGAGUUCUGUAGCUGUUCACUCUUAAGGUUUUUAUUGUUGACCAUUUGGCAUCCAAAUGUGUGUUUUGCAUUUCCAUAUUGCUCACAUCCUCUACAUAUUUAAAGCUGUUAAGUUAAAUACCUUAAGGGACGGCUAAUGGGCUGGCAUCUUUCCCCACUCGAAUACCGCAGCAUAGCUGGACUUGAACUCAUACACCUGUGUGCUCCUGUGAAUUUAGGAAGGCAGAUGUUCUUCUGAUUGUACUAUAGUUUUAUGGUCAGUUAGUAUCUAUUUGUUUUAGAUAUUGAAACAAUAUCUGCUUGGUUGUUUUGUCUGAAGGAGUUUUGAAGUGGCUUAUUGACUGAUAUUUUUUAGCUGAGAAAUUUUACAGGGAACAAACUGAAGCAUUGGAAACCGAAGUAAAAUCGUUUAAAAAUAAUAAUAAACAGUUCAAGUAAGUACAAGUGUCAUUUUUUUGCAUGUUAGAAGACAUGGAACUGUUCUUAUGUGCAAUUAAGAGGUCCUUCAAACCUGAGCUGCGAUUUUGUUGUAAACUCUGACAAUAACUUAUCCAGACAGCGUAUAACAGAUAUUAAUGAAUUUAUAUUUUUGGAGCAAGAUCUCAAUGAAACUAAACAAACUUGAUAAUGUAGGAGUUUUUAUAAGGAUAGCACUGGAGAGAAUAAAACCUCACAUUAUUUAGGGACAUUGCUUUAGUGUUAGGAGGUACAAAUUGAUGUUACUUUCAUUCUGGGACUGUCUUGUCAUUGUUGUGCUCUUCACAAAAUAAUUGGGUUGGAAGUGUUUAAAUCAUAAGCAGUAUUGAAUGUUCCAUUGCUUUUGCCAUGGUUUAGGCUUAAGAGGUUGACUACUAAAUGUCUAGAGCCCUGCAAAACUUGACAAACAAACCAAAAAACAGAAGGCCAAAAAUAAUGACAUAAGCAAAAUAAUGGGUGACAGCAUGUUAAUAGCUUGGAAAUUGGAAUUGUAUCAUUGAGGGAUUGAUUUGUUUGAUAGAAUAUGAUAUGGUAAUAGUGUGUAUGUGCAUAUUUUCUUUGUCAGAAUGCGAUACAGUAAUUGUUUGCCCUUGUGCAUACUUCCUAAAUGGCAGCAAAGUGUUGUAUUGCCAACUGUGCAACUUUUUGAAGUGCCAUUUAUGAUUGAUUACAUCAAGAGCUCUUUUGAUCCUUUUUUGGCCAGAAGGAUGAGAGGAUUAUCCCAAUGCGAUACAGUAAUUGUUUGCCCUUGUGCAUACUUCCUAAAUAGCAGCAAAGUGUUGUAUUGCCAACUGUGCAACUUUUUGAAGUGCCAUUUAUGAUUGAUUACAUCAAGAGCUCUUUUGAUCCUUUUUUGGCCAGAAGGAUGAGAGGAUUAUCCCAUUGUCUGAGGAUGUAAUGAUGUAAGCGAGCCCCUCAUAUUAGGAGAAUACACGGGGCGCAGAAGACAGCAUCUGUGGACUUACCUCUUAUUUGUGUACGGAUUAGAAGGGUCUUUCUAUUUUUUAUCAGAUUUUAUUUUUGGUUCUAGCAUCUGAAUUCUUUUUUGGGUUGCUUUCUUGGGGGUUUGUUAAGUUCAUUGUUUAAUUUUUUGUAACUGAACUACUUGGUGCCACUAUAUAUUUCUUCUUCCAUCUCCUCCUGCUUAAUGACCGCAUUAAAGUUUUUGUCAGUAGAUCAUUUUGUUUGUAGGAUUCAUUGUAGUUCUGCAUGAGUGUAGUUCAUGGGGAGAUCUUGGAGGUGUGGACGACUGAGGGUAAAAAGAAAAUGCUCUUGUAGAAUAACAAAAUCUCGUCCGGAACUCUAGAGUCUGGAGUAAUAACAUGAUUUGAAUACAUGUAAUGCCUAAUAGAUGAGCUGUACCCAAUAAAUUUAUAUGUUGUAAUUUUUGACAAGGUACUCUAGUAUUGGGGUUGUGUGGAAAGUGGCAACUCAGAGAUUCUUCUCGAAGAAACCAGAUAUCAAGGACCAUCCCAUUAGUUUCUUGAAGAGUCUCAAUCGUUGAUUUAAUGGAUGGGUCAGCAUUUGGGCUUUCAACAACUGCUGCAGCCUGCUGUCGAGAGAGGCCAGUCUGGGUUUGCCAUUCUGUGUAUCUACCUUCUGAAUGAAGUUAAACUGGUUGUUUCUUUGAGCAAAAGUAUUUGUAAAUAUAAAGACUAUCCCCGCGGGCCUUCUGUUAUGACCACAAAACUGCUACAUCUCUCUCUCUCUCUCUCUCUCUCAUGCAGUUGGGAUUGCGAGUAGCCAUCAUGAAAGAAGGGUCCCCUCUGAAAUGCUGGUUAGCCUACUCUGACAUAAAUGGCAUUUCAGAUGUUUUGAGUUAAUAUUGCUAAGAACCCAACAGUAUUUAUUUCUUAUCUUACAUUUGGGAGCAUGAAA